GGAUCGAUAGAACGAGUGUUCCC
rnacentral:miRNA from 1 species